UACGUAGGGUGCAAGCGUUGUCCGGAAUUAUUGGGCGUAAAGAGCUCGUAGGCGGUCUGUUGCGUCGGCUGUGAAAACCCGGGGCUCAACCCCGGGCCUGCAGCCGAUACGGGCAGACUAGAGUUCGGAAGAGGCGAGUGGAAUUCCCGGUGUAGCGGUGAAAUGCGUAGAGAUCGGGAGGAACACCUGUGGCGAAGGCGGCCCCCUGGGCCGGGCCUGACACUGAGACGCGAAGGCGUGGGGAGCGAACGGG
rnacentral:rRNA from 1 species